rnacentral:tRNA from 1 species
GUCCCUUUCACCCAGUGGCUAGGACACGUCUUUUCAUGUCGAAGACACGGGUUUAAUUCCCGUAAGGGAUA